CAGUUCGGAUUGCAGGCUGCAACCCGCCUGCAUGAAGUCGGAAUCGCUAGUAAUCGCGAGUCAGCAUAUCGCGGUGAAUACGUUCCCGGGUCUUGUACACACCGCCCGUCACACCACGGGAGUUGGCAACACCCGAAGUCGAUGAGCUAACCGUAUGGAGGCAGUCGCCUAAGGUGGGGUUGAUAACUGGGGUGAAGUCGUAACAAGGUACC
rnacentral:rRNA from 1 species